rnacentral:rRNA from 1 species
CGCGUAGGCGGUUUGUUAAGUCAGGUGUGAAAGUUUUCAGCUUAACUGGAAAAGUGCACUUGAAACUAACUUACUUGAGUACUGGAGAGGUAAGCGGAAUUCCUAGUGUAGCGGUGAAAUGCGUAGAUAUUAGGAAGAACACCGGUGGCGAAGGCGGCUUACUGGACAGAGACUGACGCUGAGGCGCGAAAGCGUGGGGAGCGAACAG